CCACAUCAUCAACAACCACCUUUCUACCCUAACCCAUCAUACCCACCACCACCACAACAACAACCACAUCAACCCGAAACUCAAGUCUUCCACACCGGGCACGUGUCCCGUAAUGACAAUUUCAACAAUUACCCUCAACAACCACAACCUCACCAAGAAACUCAAGUGUUCCACACUGGACACGUGUCCCAUGAAAACUUCAACAGUUACCCUCAACCACCACCACCUCAAUCUCAUCAUCAACAACCCAGCUACGGCGCUGCGUACCCACCUGCACCACCAUCCGUACCGGAUCACACCUCCGCCCCAUUCCCAAACGCAACUGUUCACCAUGUUUCUCAUGAAACCCAUAACCCUCAUUUUCCUUCUUCCAACG
rnacentral:lncRNA from 1 species